rnacentral:rRNA from 1 species
AACGAACGCUGGCGGCGCGUCUUAAGCAUGCAAGUCGAACGGCAAGAGAGAAGCUUGCUUCUCUCCUAGAGUGGCGGACUGGUGAGGAACACGUGGGUAAUCUACCCUUAAGAUGGGGAUAGCUGCUAGAAAUAGCAGGUAAUACCGAAUACACUCAGUUUUUCAUAAGAAGGAUUGAGGAAAGGAAGCUACGGCUUCGCUUGAGGAUGAGCUUGCGUCCCAUUAGCUUGUUGGUGAGGUAACGGCUCACCAAGGCGACGAUGGGUAUCCGGCCUGAGAGGGUGAUCGGACACAUUGGGACUGAGAUACGGCCCAAACUCCUACGGGAGGCAGCAGCUAAGAAUAUUCCGCAAUGGACGAAAGUCUGACGGAGCGACGCCGCGUGGAUGAAGAAGGCUGAAAAGUUGUAAAAUCCUUUUGUUGAUGAAGAAUAAGGGUGAGAGGGAAUGUUCAUCUGAUGACGGUAAUCAGCGAAUAAGCCCCG